GACGAACGCUGGCGGCGUGCCUAAUACAUGCAAGUCGAGCGAAGUUUUUCUGGUGCUUGCACCGGAAAAACUUAGCGGCGAACGGGUGAGUAACACGUAAAGAACCUGCCUUAUAGACUGGGACAACUAUUGGAAACGAUAGCUAAUACCGGAUAACAGCAUUAACUGCAUGGUUGAUGUUUGAAAGUUGGUUUUGCUAACACUAUGAGAUGGCUUUGCGGUGCAUUAGCUAGUUGGUGGGGUAAAGGCCUACCAAGGCGACGAUGCAUAGCCGACCUGAGAGGGUGAUCGGCCACACUGGGACUGAGACACGGCCCAGACUCCUACGGGAGGCAGCAGUAGGGAAUCUUCCGCAAUGGGCGAAAGCCUGACGGAGCAACACCGCGUGAGUGAAGAAGGAUUUCGGUUCGUAAAGCUCUGUUGUUAGGGAAGAAUGAUUGUGUAGUAACUAUACACAGUAGAGACGGUACCUAACCAGAAAGCCACGGCUAACUACGUG
rnacentral:rRNA from 1 species